ACGGGGCCUUGCAGAACAGUGGGGCAGCCUGUUGGAAUGCUCAGAAGUCACCAGCAGCAACAUGACACAUAGAGAAGAGCUCCAGGAGGCUGAAGAUGGCACAUCCUCUCCAAGCUGGAGCAGCUGGGAGAGGAAAACACAGCCAGACAACGGUGCUCGCCUCCUCCCCCCUAACCCCAGAGCUAAGCCAGUCCAGCUGUGAGGGGGAAGUGCCUCAGGUUCUGGGGGACAGACUCCAAGGCUGGGGCUCCAAGCAAGAUUUGGGAAGAGGAGAGGAUCCAUUUCUCUUCAGACAACAAAGCCCCCCACCCCCACCCCGAUUGCUGUAAGAGAAUG